AGGAGGGGAAAUGAUUUUGAGACAUAUGAAAAUAUCACUAAGAGUGGAAAGGAAAUAUGUGAACAUCCAGAAGACAUACAGUGUAGAUGUUUACAAAGGCCUGAUAUGUCUCUGGAAGAAUUUGUACAAGAAACAGGUCAGGUUGUUCAGUGUGAUGUUUCAUUUGGUUUAAAAUGUGAAAAAGGGAAACAGACAGCAAACCAUACAAAUGUUUUGAUUAUGAAAUUAGAGUACUCUGUUGUGAAUGUAUUUCUACACCAACAACAAUACCAACAACAACAACUACAACUCCUGUAUCAAGUACAACAACUGAAAGAGCACAACAACUAAAACUGGGCCAACAUCUACCACUGGAACAACUACCCAACCAACAACUACUUACAUGGUGCCAACAACUACAACUCCUGUAUCAAGUACAACAACUGAUAAUAGCACAACAACUAAAUUUUCGUCAACAUCUACCACUGGAACAACUACCCAACCAACAACUAUUACAGUGGGGCCAACAACUACAACUCCUGUAUCAAGUACAACAACUGAAAGUAGCACAACAACUAAAAUUGAGCCAACAUCUACCACUGGAACAACUACCCAACCAAACAACUACUACAGUGGGGCCAACAACUACAACUCCCGUGUCAAGUA
ensembl:lncRNA